rnacentral:lncRNA from 1 species
CGUGUGGUUGGCGGAGCCGUGGCGGGGGAGCUUCACCGGCUACGUCGCCGUGGUUUCACCGGAGUGAAACGCCGGACUUGUUCAGGAGACGAGACGACGCUGUUGCGACGCCUCUCUGCCAUCACCGGUGCUGCCAUGUUCGUCAAGCAUCCUGUGUGGCCCACAACAUGGGAACGCACCAGUUUCGUCGGUCGAUUCAGAUCCAGCUCCGUUCAGCGCGACCCGCUUCUUCUCUCGAGACAGCGAUGAGGUACAGUUUCCACUCAUUCAGCAAACCACUCUAUUUCUGUCGCGCUCCCUCUGUAGUUAGAUUAUUCUUUACCAUCUAAGUUAGAAUAGAUGCGUGGGAUGAAUCCAUCAAAUGGAAAAUAAUUGUCUUAAAUUUGGGGCUCCCCUCUUUACAUUUCGUUUCCAUGUGGCCUGAAACUCUGAAUGAAUAUUGCUCAAAUGUACGCAUGUUAGAAGAGUAGAAUACGUAGUACUAUCCCUCAACUACAUUGCGAGUUCUUUCUUGCUCUCUACAGGCAUAGUCAAUUAAUAAAUUCUUUAAUUUUUCUUUACUUACAGUUUUAUGCAAGCUAGAGACAGCUGCGGGCAGGCUGGCAAUCCGGAGAUGCAUGCGAGCUAUGAGUAAUUGGCCAUGAAUGAUACUCUGAUGAUGAUGCCACUUGUACUCCUACUAGUAGUAGGUAUGUGGGUGAUUUCUCUUCCUUCCUGUGUGCCAUUGUAUAAGAUGCCCAAUUUUGAUGUAAUGUCCACGUAAAAUAUCUGUUGCAGAGAGGAUUGCAUGGCCGAUGGUAACCUGAAGUCCUGAACCGCCGUGCAUGACGUCUAUUUCCUGCCGGCAUCGUAACAAACCUGUCAAGCAUACACAAGCGAUGAUGAUGAUGGUGACGACGACAACGAUGAUGGUAUCAAGGACGACAAUGAUUUUGGUAGAUAUAAUGGAGCACAUUCAUUCACAUUGUGCAUAGCCUGUUUGAAGAUAUUUCUCUUUUGACUCGGAGUAUACAUUUUUAAUUAGUAUAAAAUAAAUUCACGUGCAAACCUUUCAUACAUUCUAUUAUCCUUUGUGACGAUUCAUUUAGAUGUACUAACUUAUAUAUUUUUUUAUAACAGAUGGUCUACCAUGAGAGAAGCGACACGAGUCAUUGUAGUCGUUGAUUAAGAAUCAUAUGCUCUCAAAUACAAGGACUUAUGAUGGCGUUCCAUGACUGAAGAUUAUGAAAAAUACAUCUCUUUUUAAGUUGCUGCUUGAUUUCUGGUUAGAGAUGAACAAAUACAAUGUCUGUCUAGACUCCAGAGAGUGUUUUUGCUUCAUAAUUUCUUAAUGGUAUUGUGAAUUUGGAACUGUAUGUGAGGAUCAUGUUCAGUAUAUAUGGUUUUGAUUAAUGAAAAGAGGCUAUGAUACUUUGAUUGUUCAAA